UUUUCCCAUUCCUGCUCACCUGCAUUCAGUUAGUUGUUGUUCUUUGUCAGCUGCAAUUCACCCACUUCGGUCCUGUGUUUAUUUGGUUUGCACCUUAUUUACCUGCUGCUGGUGUUUUUUUUUUUUUUUACCACCUGCAAUUUUGUUUUUUUACAUAUUACUGCUGUCUUCCAUUGCGUGUUUGUUCUCUCCAACCCGCCCUGCCUCCUGAGCGUCUUGCAUUGGGUUCCUCAUUAUUUUCACACACGACGGCUGAUGACUUGGAUCAGAACCAAGUGAACGUUGUCUGGACUGUCAGGAGUGGCAGCGCCAGCAGGAAACAAACCACAGCAAUGACCAGGACCAGCAGCUCUCUGGCAUGCGGCCUCCUCAGGUGACGUGGGAACAUGUCGGUGAUGGACGUGGCCAGGCUCUCCACGCACACGAACUCUUCCCAGAGAGGUCAGCACUCCUAGACACAGGGCGUGGGAGUAGAGCACCUGAGAUGCUGCAUCACACCAUACCUACAGCACGGGGCGAGAGAUCGACAGCGCAAGAAAGGUUCUCACUUUGGGCUGUAUGAGCAUUGCCACAUCAGGCAUGAGGAAAUACUUCAGUCCUUCCCAGGCUCCUGGAAGAGUCACUCCACGGAAGAAGAGGAUGACCAGCAGCAGGAGUACUGGCCUUUCCCGUGGAUCUGAUUCCCUUCCAGACGCAGAAGUAACACAUAAUCCAGGCGAUCAGGAGACACAGAGCCAUGUCCCAGUGAACAUUACUCAGGGACAUAUCCGCUGACAUUCUUACCACACGCUUACUGCGGAGGAAAAGAUCAGAUACGUACUGUAUAUAAACACAGAACAAUGGCUGAACAGAUGUGCAGAAGUGUACAAACAGCAUUUUGUUUCUUCUUUUGGAAGCGUUUUCCCACUGCAAAUAAACACAGCCCACUUUAAA